rnacentral:rRNA from 1 species
GGAUGAAUAUUGGGCAAUGGGCGGAAGCCUGACCCAGCAACGCCGCGUGAAGGAAGACGGUUUUCGGAUUGUAAACUUCUUUUAAGAGGGACGAUAAUGACGGUACCUCUUGAAUAAGCCACGGCUAACUACGUGCCAGCAGCCGCGGUAAUACGUAGGUGGCAAGCGUUGUCCGGAUUUACUGGGUGUAAAGGGCGAGUAGGCGGACCUGCAAGUCAGAUGUGAAAUCCCCGGGCUUAACCCGGGAACUGCAUUUGAAACUGUAGGCCUUGAGUGAUGGAGAGGCAGGCGGAAUUCCCGGUGUAGCGGUGGAAUGCGUAGAUAUUAGGAGGAACACCAGUGGCGAAGGCGGAUUGCUGGACGACAACUAACGGUGAGGCGCGAAAGC